UGCGCGGUGGAGGAACGGUCACCUCGCGAGCCUCAUGAGCUCGAGGAGCGGGUUCGACUCCCGCCCGCGCGA
rnacentral:tRNA from 1 species